UUCCGGUUGAUCCUGCCAGAGGUGACUGCUAUCGAGAUUCGAUUAAGCCAUGCGAGUUGAAUGUUCUUCGUGAACAUGGCGGACUGCUCAGUAACACGUGGACAACCUACCCUUGGAUCUGGGAUAAACCCGGGAAACUGGGCAUAAUACCGGAUAAGCCACAUAUGCUGGAAUGCUUUGUGGCUCAAAGCUCCGGCGUCCAAGGAUGGGUCUGCGACCUAUCAGGGUAGUAGUGGGUGAAAUGUACCUACUAGCCUACGACGGGUACGGGUCGUGAGAGCAAGAGCCCGGAGAUGGAUUCUGAGACACGAAUCCAGGCCCUACGGGGUGCAGCAGGCGCGAAAACUUUACAAUGCGGGAAACCGCGAUAAGGGAAUCUCGAGUGCCAGCAUAUAAUGUUGGCUGUCCAGAUGCCUAAAAAGCAUUUGUUAGCAAGGGCCGGGCAAGACCGGUGCCAGCCGCCGCGGUAACACCAGCGGCCCGAGUGGUAACCGUUAUUAUUGGGUCUAAAGGGUCUGUAGCCGGCCGAAUAAGUCUCUUGGGAAAUCUGGCAGCUUAACUGUCAGGCAGUCAGGGGAUACUGUUCGGCUUGGGACCGGGAGAGGUGAGAGGUACCUCGGGGGUAGGGGUGAAAUCUUGUGAUCCUCGAGGGACCACCAGUGGCGAAGGCGUCUCACCAGAACGGGUCCGACGGUAAGGGACGAAAGCUAGGGGCACGAACCGGAUUAGAUACCCGGGUAGUCCUAGCCAUAAACGAUGCUUGCUAGGUGUCAGCCACGGUGCGACCGUGGUUGGUGCCGUAGGGAAGCCGUGAAGCGAGCCACCUGGGAAGUACGGCCGCAAGGCUGAAACUUAAAGGAAUUGGCGGGGGAGCACUACAACGGGUGGAGCUGCGGUUUAAUUGGAUUCAACGCCGGGA
rnacentral:rRNA from 1 species